AUGAACGCUAGCUACAGGCUUAACACAUGCAAGUCGAGGGGCAGCAUCAUCAAAGCUUGCUUUGAUGGAUGGCGACCGGCGCACGGGUGAGUAACACGUAUCCAACCUGCCGACAACACUGGGAUAGCCUUUCGAAAGAAAGAUUAAUACCGGAUGGCAUAGUUUUCCCGCAUGGGAUGACUAUUAAAGAAUUUCGGUUGUCGAUGGGGAUGCGUUCCAUUAGGCAGUUGGCGGGGUAACGGCCCACCAAACCGACGAUGGAUAGGGGUUCUGAGAGGAAGGUCCCCCACAUUGGAACUGAGACACGGUCCAAACUCCUACGGGAGGCAGCAGUGAGGAAUAUUGGUCAAUGGACGAGAGUCUGAACCAGCCAAGUAGCGUGAAGGAUGACUGCCCUAUGGGUUGUAAACUUCUUUUAUACGGGAAUAAAGUGAGCCACGUGUGGCUUUUUGUAUGUACCGUAUGAAUAAGGAUCGGCUAACUCCGUGCCAGCAGCCGCGGUAAUACGGAGGAUCCGAGCGUUAUCCGGAUUUAUUGGGUUUAAAGGGAGCGUAGGCGGGUUGUUAAGUCAGUUGUGAAAGUUUGCGGCUCAACCGUAAAAUUGCAGUUGAUACUGGCGACCUUGAGUGCAACAGAGGUAGGCGGAAUUCGUGGUGUAGCGGUGAAAUGCUUAGAUAUCACGAAGAACUCCGAUUGCGAAGGCAGCUUACUGGAUUGUAACUGACGCUGAUGCUCGAAAGUGUGGGUAUCAAACAGGAUUAGAUACCCUGGUAGUCCACACAGUAAACGAUGAAUACUCGCUGUUGGCGAUAUACUGUCAGCGGCCAAGCGAAAGCAUUAAGUAUUCCACCUGGGGAGUACGCCGGCAACGGUGAAACUCAAAGGAAUUGACGGGGGCCCGCACAAGCGGAGGAACAUGUGGUUUAAUUCGAUGAUACGCGAGGAACCUUACCCGGGCUUAAAUUGCAACUGACGGAACCGGAAACGGUUCUUUCUUCGGACAGUUGUGAAGGUGCUGCAUGGUUGUCGUCAGCUCGUGCCGUGAGGUGUCGGCUUAAGUGCCAUAACGAGCGCAACCCUUAUCGAUAGUUACUAGCAGGUCAUGCUGAGGACUCUAUUGAGACUGCCGUCGUAAGAUGUGAGGAAGGUGGGGAUGACGUCAAAUCAGCACGGCCCUUACGUCCGGGGCUACACACGUGUUACAAUGGGGGGUACAGAAGGCAGCUACACGGCGACGUGGUGCUAAUCCCGAAAGCCUCUCUCAGUUCGGAUUGGAGUCUGCAACCCGACUCCAUGAAGCUGGAUUCGCUAGUAAUCGCGCAUCAGCCACGGCGCGGUGAAUACGUUCCCGGGCCUUGUACACACCGCCCGUCACACCAUGAGAGUUGGGGAUACCCGAAGCCUGUGAGCCAACAGUUAAAUGAGGCAGCAGUCGAAGGUAGAAUCAAUGAUUGGGGUG
rnacentral:rRNA from 1 species